rnacentral:rRNA from 1 species
CAUAUCUAACUUACUUGUGUGAGGGGAAUAGCAGCCCGAAAGGGCUAUUAAUACCCCAUAGGUUUAUAGAAUAAAUUAAAUGAGGCUCCGCAAGGGGCCUCGCGCAUAAACAGGAUAUGUCCUAUUAGGUAGUUGGUGGGGUAAAUGGCCCACCAAGCCUUUGAUGGGUAGCUGGACUGAGAGGUUGACCAGCCGCAAUGGGAUUGAGAUAUGGCCCAUAUUCCUACGGGAAGCAGCAGUGAGGAAUUUUUCACAAUGGACGAAAGUCUGAUGGAGCAAUACCACGUGAACGAUGAAGGUCUUCUGAUUGUAAAGUUCUUUUACUUAGGAAAAAAAGCUUGACAGGAAAUGGUUAAGCCUUGAUCGUACUAGGUGAAUAAGUGACAGCUAACUAUGUGCCAGCAGCUGCGGUAACACAUAGGUCACAAGCAUUAUCCGGAUUUAUUGGGCGUAAAGGAAGCGUAGGCGGACAGUCUGAUCCAUUGUUAAAUGCACUUGCUCAACAGGUGUAUGCAGUGGAGAUCUCCUGUCUAGAAUUAAUUAGGAGAAACUGGAAUUCAAUGUGUAGUGGUGGAAUACGUAGAUAUAUUGAGGAACACCAAAGGCGAAAGCAAGUUUCUAGAAUAUAAUUGACGCUGAGGCUUGAAAGCGUGGGGAGCAAAUGGGAUUAGAUACCCCAGUAGUCCACGCCGUAAACGAUGGGUAUU